rfam:Thauera sp. 27 Cont12, whole genome shotgun sequence.
UCCGCCCCGUAUCGAACGGGAGCGCCUGGAUGAGUCCUCAUCCGGGUGUGAAACGGGAAGUCCGGUGAAGCGAGGCCAUAGGCCCGCCAUUCCGGCGCAGCCCCCGCUGCUGUAAGCCUGACGGUGCCAUCAAUCAAUGCCACUGGAGCACACUGCUCCGGGAAGGCGAUGGCAACCGGACGAAGGUGAGCCAGAAGACCGACCCGCUCGAUCAGACAGGU